rnacentral:rRNA from 1 species
CCCUUAGAUGUCCUGGGCCGCACGCGCGCUACACUGACAUGUUCAACAAGCCUCCUAGUUCGACAGGAUUUGGGAAAUCUUUGAACGCAUGUCGUGAUAGGGAUAGAUCAUUGCAAUUAUUGAUCUUGAACGAGGAAUUCCUAGUAAACGCGAGUCAUCAGCUCGCAUUGAUUACGUCCCUGCCCUUUGUACACACCGCCCGUCGCACCUGCCGAUUGAAUGUUUCGGUGAAGAUUCCGGAUAGGACUUUUUUGAUUUAUUUCAAUUUUGUCUUAAAAGCUAUCUAAACCUCAACAUUUAGAGGAAGGUGAAGUCGUAACA